rnacentral:rRNA from 1 species
GACGAACGCUGGCGGCGUGCUUAACACAUGCAAGUCGAACGAAGUGGCGAACGGGUGAGUAAUACGUGGGUAACCUUCCCUCCUUUUUGGGAUAAGCCUUGGAAACGGGGUCUAAUACCGAAUAAAGGGGGAUGGGCUCGCGGCAUAUCAGGUUGUUGGUGGGGUGAUGGCCUACCAAGGCGGUGACGGGUAGCCGGCUUGGGAGGGUGACCGGCCACAUUGGGACUGAGAUAAGGCCCAGGCGACUAGGGGGGGGAGAAGAGGGGGAUAUGGGACAAGGGGCGAAAGACUGAUGCAGCGACGCCGAGGGGGGGAUGAAGGCUGUAGGGUUGUUAACCUCUUUCGCUAUCGAAGGGGUAGGUGGAGAAGAAGCGCCGGCUAACUACGUGCCAGCAGCCGCGGUAAUAC